UUUUAACUGUUAAAAGCAGAACUUUGGACCCUGCCAGAGCCACCGUUGCCAGCGACAUGUUCAAGGUAAUUCAGAGGUCCGUGGGGCCGGCCAGCCUGAGCUUGCUCACCUUCAAAGUCUAUGCUGUACCAAAAAAGGACUCACCUCCCAAAAAUUCUGUGAAGGUUGAUGAGCUUUCACUCUACUCAGUUCUCAAAGGUCAAUCGAAGUAUGUGGAGGAGUCAAGGAGCCCACUUGAAGAAAGCGUCUCAUAGCUUCGACACUACUGUGAGCCAUACACAAGCUGGUGUCAGGAAACGUACUCCCAAACUAAGCCCAAGAUGCAAAGUUUGGUUCAAUGGGGGUUAGACAGCUAUGACUAUCUCCAAAAUGUACCGCCUGGAUUUUUUCCGAGACUUGGUGUUAUUGGUUUUGCUGGCCUUAUUGGACUCUUUUUGGCUAGAGGUUCAAAAAUGAAGAAGCUAGUGUAUCUGCCUGGUUUCAUGGGAUUAGCUGCCUCCCUCUAUUAUCCACAACAAGCCAUCGUGUUUGCCCAGGUCAGUGGGGAGAGAUUAUAUGACUGGGGUUUACGAGGAUAUAUCGUCAUAGAAGAUUUGUGGAAGGAGAACUUUCAAAAGCCAGGAAAUGUGAAGAAUUCACCUGGAACUAAGUAGAAAACUCCAUGCUCUGCCCAUCUUAAUCAGUUAUAGGUAAACAUUGGAAACUCCAUAGAAUAAAUCGGUAUUUCUACAGAAAAAUGGCAGAGAAGUCAGUAUUGAAUGUAUUAAAUUGGUUUUCUUCUUCAGGAAAAACUAGACCAGACUUCUGUUAUCUUGGGUGAUACCAUCCUACAAGCAAACUAAUCUGAAACCCUUUCACCUAGAGAUAAUGUACAAGCCUUAGAACUCCUCAUUCUCAUGUUGCUAUUUAGGUACAUAAUUAAAACCCAAGUUAAAAAAAAACGCAGAACUUUCCCAUCCACAGAAGUAGCAGUAGAAAAGCACAAAAUGGAAAUAUUGUGAAGAUGCUGUGUACUGCAGAGAGUCUCAUGAAGAGGAUUUUUAUUUUCACUAGGUGGCUUAAAAAUACCAUGUGUAAUUGUAGAGAGAUGUUUAUUGAGCUACUGCUUACUGCAAUUUGUGACCUCUUCUAACAGACCUGUUUCCCUGAACUGUAAAGAUUCCUGCAUAGUAGACACACAGAGAGUGUAAAAGACUAAUUUUUUUAAGAGGACAAUGGAUUGGUUUUUAUUAUUUUUGCUAAGAAAGUUUCUAGGUGGCAGGUGCUAUCUGGGGUGGCAGGUGCUGUCUGGGGAGGAGGUGAGUGCAGCAGACACAGUGGCCAAACUGUCUGCUUCCGUCUGUGGAUAGAGAGAGAAAGAAAGUUUGGACACAGGAUAGCUGGAAGAGAACCUUGGGAUUAAAGAAUAGAUUUAAAGUUGAGAUUUUCUCCAUACUUACCAGUAUGAUGAAUGAAUUCCCUUUCCCAGCCAGUGCACCAAAAUGCUACAGCUCCAGUGAGUGGAGGAACACCAGGGUUCUUUGUCUCAGGUCAAAUUAGGUAAAACAACAUGGACACACAUGGAGUGGUUUUAAGGAGCAGAGAGUUUAAUAGACAAGAAAGAAGGAAUGAGGAAAAAAAUAGCUCCCCGAUACAGAGACGGAGGGAGGAUUCGAACACAGAGAAAACCCCUCUGGUUAAUUUUUUAAAAAACUUAUCUGCAGAAACGGAGGCUCCCUUUGUUGUCCAGGCUAGUUUUGAACUCUUGGCCUCAAGUAAUUCUCCCACCUCAGCUUCCCAAAGUGCUAGGGUUAUAGGUAUGAGCCACUAGACCCAGCCAAGAAUAGCCAUUUUUACUUACUUCCCAAUAUUAGGGUAAAAACACUCAAUAUGUCACUGUGUAUAAUGAUGUGAAUUGUAGGUAUUGUUUGUAGAUGCCUUGUAUCAAUUAACUUCAUUCCUAGUUUGCUGAGCAUUUUUACCAUGAAUUGGUGUUGAAUUUUAUGAAAUGCUUUUCUGCACAUAUUAUUUUAUGAUUUCUCUCCUUUAUUCUAUUGUUGUGAUUAAUUACAUACAUUUUCUUUGUUUUUCUUUUUUGGGGGGUGGGUUUUGAGAUGGAGUCUCACUCUGUUGCCCAGGCUGGAGUGUAGUGGCAUGAUCUUGGGUCACUGCAACCUCUGCCUCCCGGGUUCAAGCAAUUCUCAUGCCUCAGCCUCCCUGGUAGCUAGAAUUACAGGUGUGCGCCACCACGCCUAGCUAAUUUUUGUAUUUUUAAUAGGGACAGGGUUUUGCCAUGUUGGCCAGGCUGUUCUCAAACUCCUGACCUCAAGUGAUCUGCUCACCUUGGCCUCCCAAAGUGCUGGGAUUACAGGCCUGGGCUACCAUACCCAACCCAUUUUCUUGAUUAAAUACAUUUUCUAAUGUUGAGCCAACAUUUUGUUUCUGGGAUAAACUCACAGGCACGCACACGCACGCGCGCGCACACACACACACACACACACACUACAUAUACCUACACUUCAUUUAAUAAUAUAUGGUGAGAAUUUUUACAUCUAAGUGAGUGAGAUUGGUCUUUAAUUUUUUUUCUUAUAAUUUGUUAGAUUUUGAUAUUAGGAGUAUGUUGCUCUCAUAAAAUCAGUUAUGAAGCAUUCCCUUAUUAUUAUUUUCUGAUAGAAGUUGAAUGCGUAUUUCACCCUUAAAUGUUUGAUAGCACUUGUUGUUGAAAUAAUCUGGCCAGGAAUUUUCUUUGUAGGAGGACCUGGUUCUAAGAAGACACAUGUGGUCUACACUGUGUUAAGUGCCUCACAGAGGUCAGAAAAGUCUAGAAACCCAAAGACAAAGGCUAUUCUUUCUUCACAGCGUGGAGCCACAGAUGUACAUGUGGCACAUCUAGCCUGUCCCUGUUUCGGUGCUGAACAGGAGUGCACCGUUUUUCUGAGCAGUUGAGAGCCCCACAGACCUGGUGCUUGUGUAUCCUCUUUCUUCCUGCACCCCUCCCUGGAGAAGAGGACAUGGCCGAGCUCCUUGUUCCCCACGUAGCCCUUCAAUAAGGGCUUGGUCCUGGAUCCACUGUUCUACCUACAAUUCUCAAUGCUUACCAAGGUGGGGCGGGCUCCAUCUCUCCAGGGAGUCCUCUUUCCUAAGGAGCCAAUCCAUGAAGCCUGCUGCCUGUUGGACAAGCCCCAAAGUGUCAAGACCACCUCGAAUACCAUGUGGCCAAAAUGGAACUUGGCUUGUCAUAAAAAUCUGAGUCCAUAAAUUCCUUUCGUUUGUUU